UCGUGAGAUGUUCGGUUAAGUCCGCUAACGGGCGCAACCUCGUCGUGUGUUACAAGUGUCACGCGAGACCCGCCGGUCAUAAACCGGAGGAAGGUGGGAUGACGUCAAGUCAGCAUGGCCUUUAUGUCCUGGGCUACACACACGCUACAAUGGCCAGUACAAUUGGUAGCUAAGCCGCGAGGUGGAGCCAAUCCGUAAAAGCUGGCCUCAGUUCAGAUUGUAGGCUGCAACCCGCCUGCAUGAAGAUGGAGUUGCUAGUAACCGCAGGCCAGCAAUACUGCGGUGAAUACGUUCCCGGGUCUU
rnacentral:rRNA from 1 species